UACGGAGGGUGCAAGCGUUGUUCGGAAUCAUUGGGCGUAAAGCGCGUGUAGGUGGCUUGGCAAGUCGGUUGUGAAAUCCCGGGGCCCAACCCCGGAACUGCAUUCGAAACUGCCUCGCUAGAGUCCCGGAGAGGAAGGCGGAAUUCCCGGUGUAGAGGUGAAAUUCGUAGAUAUCGGGAGGAACACCAGUGGCGAAGGCGGCCACCUGGACGAACACUGACGCUGAGACGCGAAAGCGUGGGGAGCAAACAGG
rnacentral:rRNA from 1 species